CAGCAGCCGCGGUAAUACGUAGGGUGCAAGCGUUAAUCGGAAUUACUGGGCGUAAAGCGUGCGCAGGCGGUUUUGUAAGACAUAGGUGAAAUCCCCGGGCUCAACCUGGGAACUGCCUUUGUGACUGCAAGGCUAGAGUACGGCAGAGGGGGAUGGAAUUCCGCGUGUAGCAGUGAAAUGCGUAGAUAUGCGGAGGAACACCGAUGGCGAAGGCAAUCCCCUGGGCCUGUACUGACGCUCAUGCACGAAAGCGUGGGGAGCAAACAGGAUUAGAUACCCCCAGUAGUCCCUGUCUCUUAUA
rnacentral:rRNA from 1 species